CGAGUUGGCCGGGCGGCCGCGGCAUCAGCCUGAUGUCGAGGAAAGUCCGGACUUCACAGAGCAGGGUGAUUGCUAACGGCAAUCCGAGGUGACUCGCGGGAAAGUGCCACAGAAAACAGACCGCCAGAAAUGGUAAGGGUGAAACGGUGCGGUAAGAGCGCACCAGCACCCCGGGUGACCGGGGUGGCUAGGCAAACCCCACCCGAAGCAAGGCCAAGAAGGCCGCAACUGCGGUUGCGGCCGCGCAGGCGCCCGAGGGUUGCUCGCCCGAGCCUGCGGGUAGGCCGCUUGAGGUACCCGGCGACGGGCUACCCAGAUGGAUGGUCGCCGCCCCACCGCCAGAGAUGGCGGCGGGGAACAGAAUCCGGCUUACAGGCCAACUCGUUCG
rnacentral:RNase_P_RNA from 20 species